AGCGAACGCCGGCGGCAGGCCUAACACAUGCAAGUCGAACGAACUCUUCGGAGUUAGUGGCGGACGGGUGAGUAACACGUGGGAACGUGCCUUUUGGUUCGGAAUAACUCAGGGAAACUUGUGCUAAUACCGAAUGCGCCCUUCGGGGGAAAGAUUUAUCGCCAUUAGAGCGGCCCGCGUCUGAUUAGCUAGUUGGUGAGGUAACGGCUCACCAAGGCGACGAUCAGUAGCUGGUCUGAGAGGAUGACCAGCCACACUGGGACUGAGACACGGCCCAGACUCCUACGGGAGGCAGCAGUGGGGAAUCUUGCGCAAUGGGCGAAAGCCUGACGCAGCCAUGCCGCGUGAAUGAUGAAGGUCUUAGGAUUGUAAAAUUCUUUCACCGGGGACGAUAAUGACGGUACCCGGAGAAGAAGCCCCGGCUAACUUCGU
rnacentral:rRNA from 1 species